AACACGUGGGGAACCUGCCCCAUAGUCUGGGAUACCACUUGGAAACAGGUGCUAAUACCGGAUAAGAAAGCGGAUCGCAUGAUCAGCUUUUAAAAGGCGGCGUAAGCUGUCGCUAUGGGAUGGCCCGCGGUGCAUUAGCUAGUUGGUAAGGUAAAGGCUUACCAAGGCGAUGAUGCAUAGCCGAGUUGAGAGACUGAUCGGCCACAUUGGGACUGAGACACGGCCCAAACUCCUACGGGAGGCAGCAGC
rnacentral:rRNA from 1 species